UUUCAUCAGGUAGUGGCGGUUUGUGGU
rnacentral:sRNA from 1 species